rnacentral:rRNA from 1 species
CUACGGGGCGCUGCAGUGGGGAAUAUUGCGCAAUGGGGGAAACCCUGACGCAGCAACGCCGCGUGAGUGAUGAAGGUUUUCGAAUCGUAAAGCUCUGUCAGGUGGGAAGAACAGGUGGAUUCCCAAUACGGAUCUACCUUGACGGUACCACCAGAGGAAGCACCGGCUAACUCCGUGCCAGCAGCCGCGGUAAUACGGAGGGUGCAAGCGUUGUUCGGAAUUAUUGGGCGUAAAGCGCGUGUAGGCGGUGCGGUAAGGCAGGUGUGAAAGCCCUUGGCUCAACCAAGGAAUGUCAUCUGAAACUGCCGGACUUGAGUACGGGAGAGGAGAGUGGAAUUCCCGGUGUAGAGGUGAAAUUCGUAGAUAUCGGGAGGAACACCCGUGGCGAAGGCGACUCUCUGGACCGAUACUGACGCUGAGACGCGAAAGCGUGGGGAGCAAACAGGAUUAGAUACCCCCGUAGUC